rnacentral:misc_RNA from 1 species
GCUGCCCAUCAAGCACGGCUUGUGUGUUGGGUCGUCGUCCCCUCCUCCGGGGGGGGACGGGCCCUAAAGGCAGCGGCGGCACCGCGUCCGAUCCUCGAGCGUAUGGGGCUUUGUCACCCGCUCUGUAGGCCCGGCCGGCGCUUGCCGAACGCAAAACAACCAUUCUUUCCAGG